AAGACAUCCGGAAGCAUAUUUGAGCCUGAGGGUGGUCAAGCUCCAGAGGUUACUGGAUCACCAACUGAAAAGGCUAUACUCUCUUGGGGGUUGCAGCUUGGUAUGAAAUUCAGUGAAACAAUAUCGAAAUCCUCCAUUCUUCAAGUCUUCCCAUUCAAUUCAGAGAAAAAGC